CCCGGCAGGAGGAGCUCCGAGGGGCACAGGACGCGCCCGGCGGCGGCCGCGGGCGGGACGGCUGCCUCGCUCAGCGCUCACCCGCUCAGACAGGCAGAUGUAACUUCAGGAGGCAACCGUGGAAGAAGGAGGGAGAAGGGGGCACGGGCUCGUUCACAGCUGCCCAAGGACUUGAAGACCUGAGAGGGCCGGUGGUCUGCAGGCGGGGCCACGGGGGCGACACGGCCCGAAGCGCGGGUGAUAUUUGUGGAAAACCAGCCAGAGCAGAAUCUCUCGGCAUUCAGCUAACCCAGUCUGGGGGCCAGAGGUGACACCGCUUGAAAUUCCAAGACUGAGACAGAGACAGGAUGGAAACAGAGGCAUUUUCUGAGGCGAUCUGUGUACAGCACCAGUGAUUAAACUGCUGGAUGAGAACUCGGCUUCAUACAGUUCCCAUUCAGUUUUCUAGCAUCGGGACGGAGCUUUGCCUCUCUGCUGUUUCAGCGUUUGUCCUGAGGAGGACAAACGCUGUGCGAGGAGGAAGCUGGAGCAGUGCACCUAUGCAUGCAUGUCCCUCGCUGCCCUAAGAUACGUCCCUUAGCAAAAAAAUAUUUAAGACUUCCUCGAUGGAAUUAAAGUAAUACAACUUUGUCAUCCUUCACCCUAAAAUAAGAGAAAAUACAGGGACCUUUCGUAUGCUUCUGGUUUUCAACUUUCCCAUGAACAUCAACAUCAAAUCUUUCCAGAGUCACCCUACCACCAUCCCUUAUGAUGCAUUUAGAAAGGUGGUGUUUUCUUCCAUACUUUGCACAACUGUGGAACUGGCAGUUCUUUUACCUGUAUCCUGUACUGCUUGGUACAGCUUGGAAGCUUUGCUUAAAAUUAGCUUUGCAGGUAAUACCCAGAAGAGUUGAGAUGCCGAGCAGAAUAGCAGGCAUUUGACAACUGUUAUCCUGAAAUCAGUGGAGUAUAUGAUGCUGUGUUUCCAACCCUGCUACUGUACUCCAAAUGAGCUUCUUAGAGCAUAGACCAGCACUGGGCUGCCCACACCAAGAGUGGGGCAGUCUGUGUGGUGGGCAGCAGUACAUGCCUCCUCCUACACGGGAGUUUGCUCUCCUGUUACAAGCAAACCACAAGCUAUGUGAAUGUGAUUAAGCAGUAGCACUUGGUACCAGCAGUCAGGGCCUGAAGCUUACCUUUCCUUAGAGUAUAUGCAGAGUAAACUAGGCUCCCCUUUGAAAUAACUGAGGCUGUCUUCACAGAUUCCUUCACUAAGAUUCAGAAAGCUCGCAGGCAGUUAAAGAGUCUGGCUCGCACAACUAAGAAACACGCAACUUUGCUCUGAAGGUUUUUAGCAGUCAACAGAAAUAGCACUUGGUAAAGGUCAGCAACUCAUCUUUCUAGACCUAAUAACAAUAACAGGGCCAGCAAGGUUGUUCUGUGACGAUGCCCACAGUGAUUUAUGACCUACAGGGGCUGUGUUACAGCAGGAGCAAAAAAAAUCUGCAAUAUUAGUUGCAGCUUGGAGGAGUAAAUAAAACGUGCAGCUGAGGGUAGGGAAGGCUACUCUGCCCUUGUUAGCUAAUCUUUCUGUGUGGCUUUUAGCAGGUUACUUCUCCCAUAGAGAAUUGAGAUCCAGGGAAGCCAGAGAGUUUGGCAAGAAAGCUGUGAAAAGACCAGGAAGCUCAGCUCCGCUUUCAGUCAGUACUUGCAGUUACACUUUUAUAGCCUGCAGCUAGUUUCUUUUCACAUGUAUUUUGUUGGUUGGGAAGAAGAGAAGAUGACAAAAUUAACAAUCUGUGGACUGAAUAACUUGGCUGGGGGAAAGGCAGGGCAGAGUUGCACGCUGGAAGGACUGCUUUCUAAUUUUGUGCCACAGAUGGACAGAUGGGAAACUACUCCUGAGAGCUGAAUGCAAUGUAGAGUUGUUAACUUGCAUCUUUCCCUAGUAAACAUGACACUGUAGCAUCAGGAGUGAAAACUGAGCUGAAGAAUUACCUCUUAUCAAUCAAAUGACAAAAGUGUGAAGGGAAAAGAUAACAGCCCCCCCAACAAACCCUCCUCUUGCCAGCUAGACCAUUAAUGGGACUAGGAUCUCUAAGAGGCUGAAAUAACAAUUCAUCCUCUGCACUUAAUCAGCACGGCUGCAGAACUGAUGUGCAUAGAAAUGGAACUAAAGGAAGAACAGCAGCAUUGACAGCCACGACAAUAAAAGGAUAAACUUGCCAGCUGUCACCAGCUGUCUUCCUAUAACCCAAGUAACUGUCAUUGAAUCCUCUCUGGAAAUGGGACAUGCUCCACAGAUAGCCUUGUCAGUCAUGGUGUGUUUCUAAGGGUAAGCUCAGCCUCUGACUAUGUCAUAAUUCUCUUAAGAAAGACAAUAACUGGCUCCAAAUGAAGGCUAUAAACAGUCAAGAACCCCUGACUUCUCUUCAGAGUGGAGACUGGCUAAGUAAAUGUGCAACGCAGAAAAGCCUGUGUGGGAAGGAUCCUUUGGCUGCGUAGCAACGUUACACGGGCAUAUUUUGUGGCAGGAAUCUGGCACCCAAGACAGCGAAAGCUACACUGAAACAACUCUUGGAAAAGCUGGGUUAACAGCCCCAUCAUGACUGCCAAAUACCAAGAAAGGCCACUGACAGCUAAAGGGACAGCAAGCGUCAGUCUGCAAAACCCUUCCAGUGUCCAAGAGACAGUACAAGCUAAAUACUACUGAACCUAGAUUCCAUGGACUAUGUCUUAAGACACAGCACAGAGGCAAGUCAAGCAGGCUGCAAGGAUCAGAACAAGCAGUACUUCCUUCAGCAGUGGCUCCUAAAGCCGCUUCCACACUGGCACCACCUACUUUUGCUCACAGCAAAGGUUGCCAUAGUCACAGCAGCUGUGUGGGGCUACCAGUUACUUGGUUUUAAAAGAAAGUUCUUCUUGAGUGUUUUGUUUUACGUUUUUCUUCUGUAGCGUAAGUGUUACUGGUAAAUAGUAGAAAAUCAAAGAUCUGAUCUGGGCUACAAGCGUUUUGUAGAUGAACUCACUAGUAGAAAUACAUCAUCAUCUAUCAUCUGCACUAGUCAUAGUUCCUUAGCUAUACCGAUUCUCUCCCCUCCUUCAAAUAGAAUUAAACGUUUGUUGUUCAAAACCUCUUU